AUGCCAGGGAAAAAUUUCACAAAGAUGAGCAUCUUGUUUGAGCUACCAUAUUGGAAGGAUCUGAAAUUGCCACACAAUCUUGAUGUCAUGCACAUUGAAAAGAACAUUUGUGAGAGCUUAUUCGGGACUUUAUUAAACAUAGAUGGCAAGUCCAAGGACACACUUAAGGCCCGCAAGGACUUAGAAGACAUGAAUAUCAGAGCAGAUCUACACUUGAAUGAUACGGGAAGUAGCGUAGAAAAGCAUCAUGCAUGGUACACAUUAACCAGAGAUGAGAAACUUGAGUUUCUGCAAUCCCUAGAAUUUAUUUGCUUCCCAGAUGGAUUUGCUGCAAAUAUAUCAAAAGGUAUAAGUAAAGAUGGGAAAUUAACUGGGUUGAAGACACACGACUACCAUAUUCUUCUUAAAAAUAUCACAUAUUAUGCUAUUCUUAAAAAUAUAUAUGUCCUGGAUUACCCCAAUGAUCGACAUGUUGCUUUAUUUGAGUGUGAACGGUAUGAUUUAGAGAGUAACAAGCCUGUGAGUAUAGCUAGUAAUACAUGUAUACAUUUUCAACAAUCAUUUGAGGCCAGGAUAUAG
rnacentral:rRNA from 1 species